UAGGGAAUCUUCCACAAUGGGCGCAAGCCUGAUGGAGCAACACCGCGUGAGUGAAGAAGGGUUUCGGCUCGUAAAGCUCUGUUGUUAAAGAAGAACGUGGGUAAGAGUAACUGUUUACCCAGUGACGGUAUUUAACCAGAAGCCNCGGCUAACUACGUGCCAG
rnacentral:rRNA from 1 species